GGGCCGGUCGUCUAGUCUGGUCUUGGACGUCGCUCUGACACGGCGGAGAUCACAGGUUCAAAUCCUGUCCGGCCCA
rnacentral:tRNA from 1 species